AACGAACGCUGGCGGCAUGCCUAACACAUGCAAGUCGAACGAGACCUUCGGGUCUAGUGGCGCACGGGUGCGUAACGCGUGGGAAUCUGCCCUUGGGUUCGGGAUAACAGUUGGAAACGACUGCUAAUACCGGAUGAUGACUUCGGUCCAAAGAUUUAUCGCCCAGGGAUGAGCCCGCGUAGGAUUAGCUUGUUGGUGAGGUAAGAGCUCACCAAGGCGACGACCCUUAGCNGGUCUGAGAGGAUGAUCAGCCACACUGGGACUGAGACACGGCCCAGACUCCUACGGGAGGCAGCAGUGGGGAAUAUUGGACAAUGGGCGAAAGCCUGAUCCAGCAAUGCCGCGUGAGUGAUGAAGGCCUUAGGGUUGUAAAGCUCUUUUACCCGGGAAGAUAAUGACUGUACCGGGAGAAUAAGCCCCGGCUAACUCCGUGCCAGCCGCCGCGGUAA
rnacentral:rRNA from 1 species